UAUAUAUAUAUAUAUAUAUAUAUAUAUAUAUAUAUACAUAUAUAUACGUAUAUAUACGUAUAAAUUAAACGUUAAAGGUAUAAAUUAAAAGAAUAUGCAAGUGGUUUUUCACCUGUUCAUUUGUUCAUUUGUUCAUCCGUUGGCCAGCUCCUCUAUUAGAUUGCUUAUAAAAAUAAUUUUUUUUUUUUUUUUUUUUUUUUUUUUUUUUUUUUUUUUUUUUUUUUUUUUUUUUUUUUUUUUUUUUUUUUUUUUUUUUAAACC
ensembl:lncRNA